GUUCCACAAAGUUCAGCAGCCACUCAGAGAAGUUUCACCGUUAUUGAAGAGAAGAGCGAUAAAAAGACGAGACUUCUCCUCAUACAGCAGUUACUCAUCUGGAUCUGCUGCUGCUCUCUUCUAAUGUCUGGAAACAAACUGUUUGUGUUUCUUUAUUCCUUAAGCAGUUUUUGAUUUGGAGCCUCAGCAGGAAAACGACUGUGGCUAGUUUAAUGUCCAUUUAAGUGCAGUACUGUGUAACUGUUCAGCUCCUUCAGUCUGCCAGUCCAGCAGCAUCUGGUUUUUGAUGGUCCUUUUAUUGUUAUGCAGCGUCUGCGUUGCUCUUACAUACAGGUUUUUUUUUUUUGUUGUUGUUUGGUUUAAGGUUGCAGUAGUUACAUUUUAUUUAAUAUAAAACAUUACGUGAUGAAUGUGUGGUAGUUCUUUAGUAAAUUUGUGUUGAAGUUCAUUGGUUUUGGUUAAGGGUGCGUUCAAAUGUGGGGGGGGGGAACUUUUGUUUCGUUCUAUGGACCAUGUGUUUCCCGGGGAAAGAAUUGGCUGACGCACUUAGAGCCACAAGGGGCAUUCUAGCUGAAGAAGCUUAAGUUUUAUUCCUCUGGAGUCAAUGCGGCUAAUGAGUUCUGACGGCAUUUUUGGGGACUUUAUGAGACGUGUCCACGAUACAUGGCUGUUGAAAACAAGAACGGCGUUAAGCCUUGAUUAAACUCGAGAGGAGCAACACGGACAAACCGCAAGACGUCAAGUCUGGGUGCGGAGGCGACCUCCGUUUAUUCAACCUGACAAUCGGGAGAUGUUAGCAUUAGCACAUAGCACGUGAUUCAGUUCUCCAGCCCGAUUUGUACGAAAUAAUAGUGUUAGCAAUGCUAGCAUCGUUAAAUGCUAUAAAGGUGUAAUAAUCAUUCAAGUGAAAACAUUCAAACGCCUAUCAUUAAUACAGAAGGACAAAAAAAUAUAUAACAAUGUAAAUAAAGAGGAUCGCAUUGGAUUACAAAACUCGUCUCUUCCCAGUGGAACAAAUAACAAAAAGGGAAGAGGAAAUGAACAACUUUAUAUUUAUAAUAGUCCUGGAGGACCCUGAACAAAAGAAGAAGAAAGUGAGGCGGAGCUGGAGGACCAAACCCCUCAUAAUGGACACAGAGGAACACAAGAAACAGUCAACAGUCAGGUACAGACAGACAAAUGCAUUAAAGGACACAUUUCACAACUAUUAAUACAGACCCAGUUAUCCAGUCAGUGGUAGCUUGGCUUAGCUGCUGCUGAAAUCUUGCGCUACAGUGUCAAAUGAACGCUCACGUUGCUAAACAAACGCAGCUCAAGGCAGAUAUGCAACAGUUGUGAUAACAGUAGCCAAGUCACACUUGGUGUCAACGCGCCAGCGGUGAUGGAUACUGCAGCCGUCCGUGUUCCGCCCCUAAACGCUGCCACCGCAUCCUCACCCCGGCUGGUUUCUCCAUCUCAGCUCUGCCUCCAUCCGGAGUGAACACUGAUUGAAAACAAUCUCACAUUUGAAGCCAAAUUGCAACACUGGCAUCAGAUAAGCCAGUACUGUAUGUCAGAUCUCCCAUGUGUGUUUGAAUAAAAUUCAGUUUGAGCCUCGAGAGAAACUAAAGAAGUUCAGAUCAGGCAUUUAGCAGCUCAGCUCGUCUGAUUCAGGAGUGCUUUUGGAGCCGUUCCCACCCGUCAUGUGUCAUGUCAUCUGCGUUUAACUCCCGUUUCGUCUCCCAGCGUCUCUCGUUCCUUUUGUGUGAACAUUGUUCUCUGAACUUUGCUUCUGUUCUGCACAUAAUUUAGUCGUGACCUAGAAUUUGGGUCGCUGUGGCGUUCCGUCGCCUUUCGUUUUAUGUCGAGGUUCAAUCUAAUCACAGGCUUGAUUGUGUUCACAGGAAAUUAUUUUUUUUUGAAUGGAGUACAUGAACUGUGCUGGAACCAGUGGGAGGAUGUGGGAGUGGAUGGACGGCUGUCACACGACACCAUAGAGUUGUGUCCAGAAUCCCGUCCGGUUCAGUGUUUCAGAUCGCUGCCGAUGGUUAUUUUUCACAUUCCUUUUCGUUGCAAACAUUAAAAUUAUAUAUUUUUUUAUUACUCAGGAGAAAGGACGGGUUAGUUUUAAAACAGAAACUAAACUGCAAUUCCAUCUGUCAUUGUCUUUUCCCUUUUUUCAACAAUGAUAAUGAAGAAAUUUCCUGUUAUUAUCCUGCUGUAUUGCACCAAACUCUCUUAAGUCUUAAAGAUACAGACCAGGCUCUGUUAUUUUUAACACUGUAACUGUUUUAUUAAUGCUGGAGGUUUACUGUUUCCCAUUUUUGUCUAAUCUUUACACAAUCCUUGUGUAUGACUCUAAAAAAUAACUUCAAACAGCUUUUUCUCUUUCAUUUAGCUUAAUUAUUUAAAAAUAAUAAAAUGAAAACACUGUG